rnacentral:tRNA from 3 species
GCCACCUUAGCACAGUCGGUAGUGCGCAUCACUCGUAAUGAUGAGGUCGCCGGUUCGAUUCCGGCAGGUGGCUCCA